CGGGGCGUAGCGCAGCCUGGAAGCGCACCUGCCUUGGGAGCAGGUGGUCGGCCGUUCAAAUCGGCUCGCCCCGACCA
rnacentral:tRNA from 1 species